rnacentral:lncRNA from 1 species
UUUAUUCAUUGCUAACGUUCCAAUAAAUAGAGUUAAGCUUAACAGAUCAGCUUCAACUCAGGAAACUAACUAGCCAAAAUUCAAGGAAAUAAGUUGUAACAACUUUGAAUGAGCAGAAAUACAAAACAUCAGAAAAUAAAAUAAAAAGCUUUUACUGCUGCUAUUUACUGGUUUAGACUUGGUCUAACACAAGCUAAAAACUUGGGAUUCUUCUUAGGAGUUCGCUAAGAUCUUCUUGGCCUAUCAAUACUUCCCCCGCCAAUUGGAUCCUUGUCUUCAAGGUCCAGAUAAGGAAACUGAUUACGCAGCAGUGAUGAGUCUUC